rnacentral:rRNA from 1 species
AAAUAUUAGUUUAUUUAUUUUUUAGUUUUAUUUAAUUUUUAAUAAAAAUAAUUUUAAAAAUUUAAUUUUUAGUAUAUUUUAUAGAAAAAAUAGUAUUUAUUAUAAAGAAAUAGUAUUGUGAAAGAAAAUUGAAAUAUUAUGAAAAUAAUUUUAUUUUAAAGAAAUAUUUAUUUUAUGUACCUUUUGUAUCAGGGUUUAUUAAAUAAGUUUUAUUUAUUAUAAAUUUCUCGAAUUUAAAAGAUUUAAUAAAUUAUAAAAGUUAAUGUUGAAUAAUUAUUUUUAAUGAUUUAUUAGUAAUGAAAUGUUAUUCGUUUUUAAAUAUAUCUAGUUUUUUAAGAAAUGAAUUUAAUUCAUAUAUUUUUAAUAUAAAUUUUUAUUUUUAGAAUUGUUUAUUUAUAAAUAUAAAUAUAUUAAGGGAUAAGCUUUAAUUUAAAAUCUAUAAUUUUAUAAUAUUAAGUAUAAAUAUAAGGUUAGAAAUAUCUAUUAUUAAUAAGUUUGUUUUAAUUUAUAUUUUUAUAAUAUAAUUUAUUUUUAUUUAGGGUUUUUAUUAAAAUAAAUAUUUUAAUAAUUAAAGUAUUGAAAUAAUGAUAAAAUUAGUAUAUGUAAAUGUUUGUAUUUAUAAAAAAUAUAGAUUAAAUUAAGGAAUUCGGCAAAUUUAAUGCUCACCUGUUUAACAAAAACAUGUCUUUUUGAUAAUAAUUUAAAGUCUAACCUGCCCACUGAUUUAUUUGAAGGGCCGCGGUAUUUUGACUGUGCAAAGGUAGCAUAAUCAUUAGUCUUUUAAUUGAAGGCUUGUAUGAAUGGUUGGAUGAAGUAUUAACUGUCUCAAUUUAAUAAAUAAUAGAAUUUUAUUUUUAAGUUAAAAAGCUUAAAUAGUUUUAAAAGACGAGAAGACCCUAUAGAUCUUUAUAUUUAAUUUUUUAAUAAUUUUUUGGAAUUAAAUUUAUUUUUAAAUUUUGUAAUAUUGAGUUGGGGUGAUUAAAAAAUUUAAUAAACUUUUUUUAGAAAUUUGAACAAUAAUUUUUGAAAAAUUGAUCCAUUUUUUGUGAUUAUAAGAUUAAGUUACCUUAGGGAUAACAGCGUAAUUUUUUUGGAGAGUUCAUAUCGAUAAAAAAGAUUGCGACCUCGAUGUUGAAUUAAAGGUUAAUUUUAGGUGUAGAAGUUUAAAAUUUUGGUCUGUUCGACCAUUAAAUCUUUACAUGAUUUGAGUUCAAACCGGCGUGAGCCAGGUUGGUUUCUAUCUUUAAAAAUAUAAAAUAUUUUAGUACGAAAGGACCAAAUAUUUGGAAUAAUUUUUUAAAAUUGAAUGUUAUUAAUAUAAUUAUUACUUUGGCAGAAUAGUGUAAUGAAUUUAGAAUUCAUAAAUGUAAAUUUUUUACAAGUAAU